rnacentral:rRNA from 1 species
GAUAGGCCGGGCGAAGCAGCGGGGGUAUGACAGGGGGCCCAGGGGUUGUUCGGAUUGACUGUGGGGAAAGGGUGCGUAGGUGGCGAGGUAAGUCGGAUGUGAAAGCUCGGAGCUCAAAUCCGAAAUGGCAUUGGAAACUACCUUGCUCGAGGGUCGGAGGGGGGACUGGAAUACUUGGUGUAGCAGUGAAAUGCGUAGAUAUCAAGUGGAACACCAGUGGCGAAGGCGAGUCCCUGGACGACUCCUGACACUGAGGCACGAAAGCUAGGGGAGCAAACAGGAUUAGAUACCCCUGUAGUC